UGGACAGAUUAUUGUAUUCGACUGUAUUCACGGUGUGAAACAGGGGAUUACACUGUUUUUAAACGGAAAGUGAAUCAAUUAGCAUAUAGACUCCU
rnacentral:pre_miRNA from 1 species